UGAAGAACGCAGCGAAUGCGAUACUUGGUGUGAAUUGCAGAAUCCCGUGAACCAUCGAGUCUUUGAACGCAAGUUGCGCCCAAAGCCAUUAGGCCGAGGGCACGUCUGCCUGGGCGUCACGCAUCGCGUCGCCACCCACCAUCGUCGUGAUGGGUGGCGGAUGUUGGCCUCCCGUGCCGCAAGCGGCCGGCCUAAAUGCGAGUCCUCGGCGAGAGACGUCACGACUAGUGGUGGUUGAAUGCCUCAACUCGAGUCCUGUCGUGCCGGUGCCCCUCGCCGUCGUCGGGCUCCCUCGACCCCGUAGCGUGCUCACAAGGGCGCGCCUCGACCGCGACCCAGGUCA
rnacentral:rRNA from 1 species